rnacentral:rRNA from 1 species
CAUCGGGAAGAAAGCUUGCUUUCUUUGCCGGCGACCGGCGCACGGGUGAGUAACACGUAUCCAACCUGCCCUUUACUCGGGGAUAGCCUUUCGAAAGAAAGAUUAAUACCCGAUAGCAUAAUGAUUCCGCAUGGUUUCAUUAUUAAAGGAUUCCGGUAAAGGAUGGGGAUGCGUUCCAUUAGGUUGUUGGUGAGGUAACGGCUCACCAAGCCUUCGAUGGAUAGGGGUUCUGAGAGGAAGGUCCCCCACAUUGGAACUGAGACACGGUCCAAACUCCUACGGGAGGCAGCAGUGAGGAAUAUUGGUCAAUGGGCGCUAGCCUGAACCAGCCAAGUAGCGUGAAGGAUGAAGGCUCUAUGGGUCGUAAACUUCUUUUAUAUAAGAAUAAAGUGCAGUAUGUAUACUGUUUUGUAUGUAUUAUAUGAAUAAGGAUCGGCUAACUCCGUGCCAGCAGCCGCGGUAAUACGGAGGAUCCGAGCGUUAUCCGGAUUUAUUGGGUUUAAAGGGAGCGUAGGUGGACUGGUAAGUCAGUUGUGAAAGUUUGCGGCUCAACCGUAAAAUUGCAGUUGAUACUGUCAGUCUUGAGUACAGUAGAGGUGGGCGGAAUUCGUGGUGUAGCGGUGAAAUGCUUAGAUAUCACGAAGAACUCCGAUUGCGAAGGCAGCUCACUGGA